AGCUAAAAUGAACUAUGGCCAUAUCACCCUGAACAUGAUCCAAGAAGCAAAAUAAGACCAGGCUUGCUUAGUAUAUGGCUAGGAGACCACCUGGGAAUACCAGGUUCUUUGCUG
rnacentral:rRNA from 1 species